GUACAUAUUUUGUCGGAGUUUCAACCAAAUUAUCUUGCAACGGAUAUAGUACUGAAAGAGUAAGAACUGGCCUGGCAACCCUGUCUAGCAAAGCUGAUACAAAGGUUUAAGCUUAUCAAAUCUACUGAUAAAACAAUGGACAAUGGAGAAACCAGCUAAUAAAAAACAAAUAAACAGGUUGUUAAAUAAAUCGAAAAUUUCCAGCAAAAUAAAAUAUAAAAUAAUAAGAAAAAAGUAAGGUUAUAAAGUAAAUUCUUUUUUUUGCUCCUGAAGUUGCCGUAAACGUGUCACACAUCUAUAGAACUAUACGUAAAGGCCCUGGGGUCGUGAGAGACAACUACCUAGUCGGCCAGAAAACCCAUGGGCGUAAAUUAGUUUAGCAUUAUAACGUUUUUAAGUAGUUG